rnacentral:rRNA from 1 species
UUAAAUGGCCGCGGUAUUUUGACCGUGCUAAGGUAGCAUAAUCAUUAGUUUUUUAAUUGAAAGCUGGAAUGAAGGGUUGGAUGAAAGAAAAGCUGUCUCUAUUAAAUUAUUAUUGAAUUUUAUUUUUAAGUUCAAAAGCUUAAAUAAAAUUAAAAGACGAGAAGACCCUUUAGAGUUUAAUAAAUUUAUUUUUAUUUUUAUUUAGAAUUAAAUUAAUAAUAGAAAUUAAUAUAUUUGGUUGGGGUGAUUAAAAAAUUUAAUAAACUUUUUUUUAUUUUUAUAUGAAUUAAUAAAUAUUUGAUCCAAAAAUUUUGAUUAUAAGAUAAAAUUACCUUAGGGAUAACAGCGUAAUUUUAUUUGAGAGUU